rnacentral:rRNA from 1 species
AAAACUUUCAACAACGGAUCUCUUGGUUCUCGCAUCGAUGAAGAACGCAGCGAACUGCGAUACGUAAUGUGAAUUGCAGAAUUCCGUGAAUCAUCGAAUCUUUGAACGCACAUUGCGCCCCUUGGUAUUCCAGGGGGCAUGCCUGUUUGAGCGUCAUU